AGCAUAUCAAUAAGCGGAGGAAAAGAAACCAACAGGGAUUGCCUCAGUAACGGCGAGUGAAGCGGCAACAGCUCAAAUUUGAAAUCUGGCUCUUUCAGGGUCCGAGUUGUAAUUUGUAGAAGAUGCUUCGGGCGUGGCUCCGGUCUAAGUUCCUUGGAACAGGACGUCAUAGAGGGUGAGAAUCCCGUAUGUGACUGGUGGCCUUCGCCCAUGUGAAGCUCUUUCGACGAGUCGAGUUGUUUGGGAAUGCAGCUCAAAAUGGGUGGUAAAUUUCAUCUAAAGCUAAAUAUUGGCCAGAGACCGAUAGCGCACAAGUAGAGUGAUCGAAAGAUGAAAAGCACUUUGGAAAGAGAGUUAAACAGUACGUGAAAUUGUUGAAAGGGAAGCGCUUGCAACCAGACUUGCGCGCGGCCGAUCAUCCGGGGUUCUCCCCGGUGCACUCGGUCGCGCUCAGGCCAGCAUCGGUUUCGGGGGUGGGAUAAAGGCCCGAGGAAUGUAGCUCCCCUCGGGGAGUGUUAUAGCCUCGGGUGCAAUGCCGCCUCCCGGGACCGAGGACCGCGCUUCGGCUAGGAUGCUGGCGUAAUGGUUGUAAGCGACCCGUCUUGAAACACGGACCAAGGAGUCUAACAUCUAUGCGAGUGUUUGGGUGUCAAACCCAUACGCGUAAUGAAAGUGAACGGAGGUGAGAACCCUUAAGGGUGCAUCAUCGACCGAUCCUGAUGUCUUCGGAUGGAUUUGAGUAAGAGCAUAGCUGUUGGGACCCGAAAGAUGGUGAACUAUGCGUGAAUAGGGUGAAGCCAGAGGAAACUCUGGUGGAGGCUCGCAGCGGUUCUGACGUGCAAAUCGAUCGUCAAAUUUGCGCAUAGGGGCGAAAGACUAAUCGAACCAUCUAGUAGCUGGUUCCUGCCGAAGUCCCCCU
rnacentral:rRNA from 1 species